rnacentral:lncRNA from 1 species
UUCGACAGCGGAAACAAAUUCUUGCCUCCCACAAAAGAAAUAGAGAAUGUGUUUUUCUCCUGUUCCGAAAGACAUGUCCGUACCUCACGAAGCAGCAAAUCCGUCCCUACUCGGUGCCUGCUCCUAGUCCGUACCAGACAUCACUUCCAAACCGUGGUUGAUUCCCACACUGAAUAUGCUUAAACUACUUUAUAACUGCAUGCACUUUCUGAAAUUGGCAGUCAUAACUGCUUUAUAACUUUUCCAAUUGUGUCAGGGCUGCAACUCCCUCUCUCGAGGUCGAGUCCGUCCAGGCUUCUCCCGCGGCUGUCAUCCGUCCCACGACUCCCUCCCUUGAGAUCGAGUCUGCCCAGGCCUCCCCAGCAGCUGACUCACGGCCUGCGAAUCCCUCCUUUGAGGUCGAGUCCGCCCA